rnacentral:lncRNA from 1 species
CAAGUAUUUACACAUCAUUCAUUGUUCAUAUUAUACCAAAAGUAGCUAAGUUUCUAUACAUGCCAUACCCAAAACAAAACGUCUAGUUAUACCGAGUUAUUUCUUUGAUAGUGUGAUCGGCCUCCGACGUUUCCUUUGAUCCCCGAGUGACUAGAUAAGUACUAUAAGAAGAAGAAAAUAAAGAGAUUAAGCACUAGGCUUAAUAAGCUUACAAGCAAAUAAAUCACAACAUUCAACAUAAUGGAUAAUUAUGCAUAAUAUCAUCUAACAUCAUAAAUUUCUUUACUUCUCAAUUUCUAUCUUCUUCUUUAUUCCCUUACCUUCUUUUUUACCUGACCUUUCCUUUUUCAUAAGUAUAAUUUACUUUUCCUUUGCUGUUAAUUCACUGUAAUUUAACUCGUAUCCUGACCCGUUGAACCACUCGGAAUACUAAGGAUACUAGGGUCGUUCCUGUCUAUCAAUAUUCUGCCAAUGCCAUAUCUUUGACAUGGACUUACAUGAAUUAUUCCUGUCUCCAAUGCCAUAUAUAAUAUGGACUUACAUGGCUCAAUCCUGUCUCCAAAGCCAUAUUUCUAAUAUGGACUUACAUGGCUCAUUUCUGUUCUGUCCUGUCAACCUUAAUAUCCUAACAUUCCUAGGGUUCAACCGGGGCUUUCUAACACUUUUCCUCUGUCACUUCACUUUAAAUUCGACUUUAAAUAUUUUCAUAACAUAAUAUAUAAAUGCUGGAAAUUGACAAUAAUAAUGUAAAAUAAAAGAAUAUUGCAUUUAUUUACUGUAACUUACCUUGAUACAAAAUGUGACUAAACUUUACAAUUUAGUCCUUUACUUUUUCUUUUCCCCGAUCUACUCCCGAAUUUCAUUCUUCUUGAUCUAUAAUAGCAAACUUAACUUAUUUAAUAUUCACAUUUAUUAAAACAGUCCUUGACCCAACUUUUGCAAAAUUAUAUUUUUACCCCUAAACUUUCACAUAUUUGCACUUUUGCCCCAAGGCUCGUAAAUUAAACUUCAUCCUAUUUUCUUAUGUUUUAUGACAUGCUGAUCAUUUUUCCCUUCUAUGGCAAUAUCAAAAUCACACUCUAACAUAUACUUAUGACUAUUGGUAUUUUUUUCCAAUUUAAGCCAUUUUACUCGUUUUCACUUAAAACCGAGUAGCAUAAGUUGUUUAACAUAAUUUAAAACCUCAUAUUCUAUCAUAAAACACCAAAAUACACAAAUUUCAGCCAUGGGUAUUUUUCCAAAUAUGAACCCUAGGUUGAAUUAUUGCUAGAAUAAGCUUAAUCAAGUUACCGGGACUCCAAAAACGUAAAGAUCAUUAAAAACGGGGCUUGGAAUCACUUACUAUGAAGCUUGAAAGUUGAAGAAACCCCAGCUAUGGAGGAGAGCAAAAAUCGGCAUAAACUAAUUGAGAAGAUGACCAUUUUUGUGUUAUUUUUCCCUUUUUAAUUCAUUUAAUAUCCAAAUGACCAAAUUACCCCUCCUUACUAAACUUUCAAAAAUUCCUUCCAUGUCCUAAUUUUUGUCCAUGAACUUAAAAUUGGUCAAAUUGUUAUUUAAACCCUCCUAAUUAAUAUUCCAAAGUAAUUUCAUACUAAAAACUUCUAGAAUGCAAGUUUUGUAAAUUAUUCGAUUUAGUCCCUAACCUCAACUUAAGCACUUUAUGCAUAGAAUUUCAUCACGAAAUUUUCAUACAAUCAUGCAAUCAUACCAUGAACCUCAAAAUAAUAAUAAAAUAAAUUUUUCUACCUCGAAUUUAUGGUUUCGCAACCACUAUUCUGUUUAGGCCCUAUUUCAGGAUGUUACAUUUCUCCCCCCUUUUAGGGAUUUUCGUCCCGAAAAUCUUACCCGUGAAGAGAUUUGGGUACUGUUUUCGCAUAGCCUCUUCGGGUUCCCAUGUAGCUUCAUCUACCCCGUGUCUAUUCCAUAGUACUUUCACAAGUGCAAUACUUUUAUUCCUUAAUUGCUUUACCUCUCGAGCUAGAAUCUUUACCGGUUCUUCACCGUAAGUCAUGUCUGGCUGAAUCUCAACCUCUGUCUGAGAAAUCACAUGUGACGGAUCUGAACGAUAACGACGUAGCAUAGACACAUGAAAUACAUUAUGAAUCUUCUCUAACUCAAUCGGCAAAGCUAACCGAUAUGCUAAUAGUCCGACUCUCUCAAUUACUUCAAACGGUCCAAUAAAACGUGGACUUAGUUUGCCUUUCUUGCCAAAUCUGAGAACUUUCUUCCACUAGGAUACUUUCAAAAAAACUUUGUCACCAACUUGAUAUUCGAUCUCUUUUCUUUUUAAAUCUGCAUACGACUUCUGCCUGUCUGAAGCUGCUUUUAAACAAUUUCUGAUAACUUUCACUUUUUCUUCUGUUUCUUUAACUAAAUCAACCCCAUAAAUCUGGCUUUCUUUAAGCUCUGUCCAAUAUAAAGGUGUACGGCAUUUACGUCCAUACAAAGCUUCAUAAGGUGUCAUCUUCAAACUUGACUGGUAACUAUUAUUAUAGGCAAACUCUACCAAUGGUAAGUAUUUUUCUCAACUACCUUGAAAUUCUAAUACACAACAUCUAAGCAUAUCUUCAAGUAUCUGAAUAACUCUCUCUGACUGACUGUUGGUUUGAGGAUGGAAAGCUGUACUAAAACUCAACUUUGUGCCCAAAGCCUCUUAUAAUUUCUUCCAAAACCUUGAAGUAAAUCUUGGAUCUCUGUCUGAAAUGAUCGAUAAUGGUACCCCAUGUAGCCUGACUAUCUCUGUAAUAUACAACUCGGCCAACUUGUCAAGUGAAUAAUCCAUACGGACUAGGAUAAAAUGAGCCGACUUCGUUAACUUAUCAAUCACAACCCAUACUGCAUCUUUCUUUCUCGGUGUAAACGGUAAUCCUGUCACAAAAUCCAUAGUAACUCGAUCCCAUUUCCAUUCCGGAACUAGCACAGGCUGCAAUAAUCCUGAGGGUACCUGAUGUUCGGCCUUUACCUGUUGACAAAUCAAGCAUCUAGAAACAAACUCUGAAAUAUCUCUUUUCAUUUUUACCCAUCAAUACAAUUUCUUCAAAUCAUUAUACAUUUUUGUACUGCCUGGAUGAAUAGAUAAAGGAAUGCUAUGUGCUUCCUGUAAAAUCUUCCGAAUAAGCUCAUCAUUCUUUGGUACACAUAUUCUGUCUCUAAACAUCAAACAACCAUCAGAACCAAUCCAGAAAUCUGAUUCUAUGCCUGACUCACAUUGAACUCUUUUAGCUUGUAACUCAUUAUCAUCUUUCUGAGCUUCACAAAUCUCUUCAAGAAAUACCGAUUUAGCUCUCAAUUCAGCUAAAAUAGAACCAUCAUCUGACAUAGCUAAAUUGGUAUUCAAAGCUCGCAAUGUAAAUAAAAGUUUCCUACUUAAAGCGUCAGCAACUACAUUUGCCUUACCUGGGUGAUAAUCAAUCACUAACUCAUAAUCUUUAAGCAAUUCCAACCAUCUUCUUUGCCUCAAAUUCAAAUCUUUUUGAGUCAUCAAGUAUUUCAAGCGUUUAUGAUCGGUAAAUAUCAGGCACCUUUCACCAUACAAAUAAUGUCUCCAAAUCUUCAAUGCAAAUACAAUAGCAGCUAGCUCUAAAUCAUGUGUCGGAUAAUUUUUCUCAUGUGGCUUCAAUUGUCUAGAGGCAUAAGCAAUUACCUUUCCUUCCUGCAUGAGUACACAACCGAUCCCAUUCAAGGAUGCAUCACUGUAAAUCACAAAUUCUUUACUCAGUUUCGGCUGUACUAAGAUAGGAGCUUCCGUCAACAAUGCCUUUAACUUGUCAAAACUUUGUUGGCACUUCUCAGUCCAUUCAAACUUAACAUCCUUCCGUAGCAGUCUCGUCAACGGAGUAGCUAUCAUGGAAAAUCCCUCCACAAAUCGUCUAUAAUAUCCGGCAAGACCAAGAAAACUUCUAACUCCUGAUACAUUUCUAGGAGGCUUCCAAUCAACAAUGGCUGAAAUCUUACUCGUAUCAACCUUAAUACCUUCACCUGAGAUAAUAUGUCCAAGAAAACCAACUUCUCGUAACCAGAACUCACUUUUGCUGAACUUGGCAUACAACUGAUUAUCUCUCAGAAUUUGUAAAACUGUUCUCAAAUGCUCUGCAUGCUCAGUCUCAUCAUGAGAAUAAAUCAAAAUAUCAUCAAUGAACACAACUACAAACUUAUCUAAGUACGAUCUGAAAAUUCGGUUCAUUAAGUCCAUGAAAAUGGCAGGAGCAUUAGUCAAGCCAAAUGGCAUCACAAGGAAUUCAUAAUGACCAUACCUAGUUCGGAAAGCAGUCUUCAGGACAUCUGACUCUUUAACUCGCAACUGAUAGUAUCCGGAUCUCAAAUCUAUCUUGGAAAACACAGUAGCUCUCUUCAAUUGAUCAAACAAAUCAUAAAUUCUAGGCAAUGGAUACUUGUUCUUUACUGUUACCUUGUUAAGUUGCCGAUAAUCUAUGCACAAUCUCAUCGAUCCGUCUUUCUUUUUCACAAAUAGCACUGGUGCACCCCAUGGUGAACUACUGGGUCUCACCAAGCCUUUAUCUGUUAAUUCCUGCAACUGAGCUCUCAAUUCUUUCAAUUCCAACGGAGCCAUUCUAUAAGGAGCAAUAGAAAUGGGCGUGGUACCUGGAAUCAACUCAAUACCAAACUCAACUUCUCUAACAGGAGGCAAACCUGGUAGUUCUUCCGAAAACACAUCGGGAAACUCACAUACCACAGGCACUGAUUCAAUUUUCAAUUCUGGAUCUUUAGUGUUCAACACAAAAGCAAGAUAAGCUUCAUACCUUUUUCUCAAACAUUUCUGAGCAGACAUAAUAGAAAUUAUGGGAAAUAAACUAUUUGACUCUUCUGAAUUAACCCGAAGAAUUUCACCAUUUUCACACUUCAACUCAAUGAAUUUCUUUCCACAAUUCACUAUCACAUCAUGUGUAGUCAACCAAUUCAUACCAAGAAUCACAUCAUACUCAUCAAAUGGCAAUAGCAUGAGAUCAGCCGAAAAACAGUAACCUCUAAUCAUUAAAGGAUAAUUUCUACAUACUUUAUCUACUAAUACAUGCUUGCCUAAUGGAUUCGAUACUUUAAUCACAAAUUCUGUAGGUUCUAUAGGCAUACUUAUACUAGGCAUCAAUUUCAUACAAACAUAAGAAUAAGUCGAACCCGGAUCAAUCAGAGCAAUGACAUUAAUAUCAUGUAGAGAAAAUGUACCCGUGAUCACAUCGGGGGAGGAUGCCUCUUCGCGUGCACGAAUAACAUAAGUCCUUGCAGGGGCUCUAACAUCUGAUCUCACCGCCGAAUCUCUAGAAGUACCUCUGUUACUUGCUCCUACUCCCGGUUGCCUUAGUGAUCUGCCUCUAGUAGGAGCAUUUCUGGAUCUAGCACUCUAUGUUACUUCUCGGCUAGCCACUUCUGGACAUUCUCGUACAAAAUGAUCUGGAGAACCACAUUUAUAGCAAACACUUUCGCCUGCCUGACAAGGACCAUAAUGAAGUCUACCACACCGUGGACACCCUGAUCUACCCUAUCUGACAUUACCUACACUCGUAGUCGAGGUGGUCUGAGCCUUCGGAUCCUUAAAUCUGCUACCUCUAUUCUGACUAGAUUGCCCUGCCGAAAAGCUAGAUCUGGUAGAAAACUCUUUGGGCCUCUUGGAUGGAGCCUGAAAUGAUCUGCUCAUCUAUCUCUUCUUUGUAUCUUGUGUCUCUGUCUCAACUUUGUCUUUUCUUUUUAACAGCUCCUCUGCCUUACAGGCUCUCUCAACUAAAAUAACAAACUCUUUUAUUUCUAGGACACCCACUGACAGUCGGAUAUCAUCAUUUAACCCAUCCUCAAACCUUUUACACAUGAUAGCCUCUGUGGACACACAUUCUCGAGCAUAUUUACUAAGCCUGACAAAUUCGCGCUCAUAAUCGGUCACUGUCAUAGUACCUUGUUUCAAUUCCAGGAAUUCCUUUCUCUUCUGGUCAAUAAACCUCUGACUGAUGUACUUUUUACAAAAUUCCUCCUGAAAGAAAUCCCAAGUGACCCUCUCCUUUGGUACAACUGAUACAAGUGUCUUCCACCAGUAGUAGGCUGAGUCUCUAAGAAGUGAUACUACACAUUUCAUACAUUCCUCGGGUGUACAAGAUAAUUCGUCAAAGACUCUGAUAGUAUUUUCUAACCAAAAUUCUGCAGUUUCUGCAUCAUCUUUUGUUGCUCGGAACUCUUCUGCCCCUUGUUUCCUGAUUCUAUCAACUGGUGGCUUUUCUCUUACCACUGUACCUGUGAUUGGGGAAGCUUGAGCUACAUGGGUAGCCUGAGAAUCAUGAGGGGGUGGAGGUCUAACUGUCGGAUUCGUACAAACGAACUCGGCAAACAAAUCAUUCAAAGCUCGGAAGAGAGCUUCUCGAGUCACUCCUCCCUGAUCAACUAUUACUGGCCUAUUCUCAGAUGGCGCUGCCCCUUCUGUGGGAGCAGGCGCAUUACUUUCUACAUCAUCAUCACCAGCUCGUCCGGGAUCCAUUACUAUAAAACAAAAUAUUUAAAAAUCGUCAGGAGUCAUCACACUAUCAAAAUACAAGUAUGGCAUGUAUAGCUAGACUUUUUCUCACACUAACUGUUCCGAGAACCAACUAAACCUGCUCUGAUACCAAUAAAUGUAACACCCUCACUCCCGAAACCGUCACCGAAGUCAAGCUUGAGGUGUUACUAAACUUAUCUUACCUUUUAAACAACUCUAAACCACUUAUUUUAAUUUUUGGAAUAAACUAUUUUUCUGCGUCAUGGUUGCUUAAAAAUCUAUUUCUCGAGUUUCAAAACUCAAAAUUUAGAUCUGUAAAUUUUUCCUGAAACUAGACUCAUAUAUCUAUCUACUAAUUUUUUUCUAGAAUUUUUUUUACUUGGCCAAUUAGUACAGUUUAUUAGUUAAAGUUUCCCCUGUUUCAAAACUUGACUGCACUGACCUCUUCUUACUACGAACCAUGUUUCUUCCUGUACAAAAUUCAUAUGACUAAGCCGUUUAUUUCUUUCAAAACUAGAUUCAAUAAGAAUUCUAACCAUUUAAAUUACACCUUCUAAUUAGUUUUGUACAAUUUAUGGUGAAUUUCCAAAGUUGAAAUAGGGGAUCAAGAAAUCGCUCUGACCUUGUUUCACUAAAACUCAGAUAUCUCAUAAAAUAUAAUACCUUUACAUGUUUUGCUUAUUCCAUAAGAAAAUAUACAUAAUAAGCUUUAAUUUAAUAUAUUAUUCAUCUUCAAACUAUGUUUCUACAAUUUUUAGUGAUUUUUCAAAUUUAUGUUAUUUCUGUUACUUGAAUCUAUUUUUAGGUUACUUUCACAUUUUUCAUAAUUUUCAUGUGAUAAUCAUCAUUCAAUCAUACAUAUUAAUAAACAUGUAUAUCAUCGGCUAUUUUAUUAGCUAAUCACUAGCAAGUAUUUACACAUCAUUCAUUGUUCAUAUUAUACCAAAAGUAGCUAAGUUUCUAUACAUGCCAUACCCAAAACAAAACGUCUAGUUAUACCGAGUUAUUUCUUUGAUAGUGUGAUCGGCCUCCGACGUUUCCUUCGUUCCCCGAGUGACUAGAUAAGUACUAUAAGAAGAAGAAAAUAAAGAGAUUAAGCACUAGGCUUAGUAAGCUUACAAGCAAAUAAAUCACAACAUUCAACAUAAUGGAUAAUUAUGCAUAAUAUCAUCUAACAUCAUAAAUUUCUUUACUUCUCAAUUUCUAUCUUCUUCUUUAUUCCCUUACCUUCUUUUUUACCUGACCUUUCCUUUUUCAUAAGUAUAAUUUACUUUUCCUUUGCUGUUAAUUCACUGUAAUUUAACUCGUAUCCUGACCCGUUGAACCACUCGGAAUACUAAGGAUACUAGGGUCGUUCCUGUCUAUCAAUAUCCUGCCAAUGCCAUAUCUUUGACAUGGACUUACAUGAAUUAUUCCUGUCUCCAAUGCCAUAUAUAAUAUGGACUUACAUGGCUCAAUCCUGUCUCCAAAGCCAUAUUUCUAAUAUGGGCUUACAUGGCUCAUUUCUGUUCUGUCCUGUCAACCCUAAUAUCCUAACAUUCCUAGGGUUCAACCGGGGCUUUCUAACACUUUUCCUCUGUCACUUCACUUUAAAUUCGACUUUAAAUAUUUUCAUAACAUAAUAUAUAAAUGCUGGAAAUUGACAAUAAUAAUGUAAAAUAAAAGAAUAUUGCAUUUAUUUACUGUAACUUACCUUGAUACAAAAUGUGACUAAACUUUACAAUUUAGUCCUUUACUUUUUCUUUUCCCCGAUCUACUCCCGAAUUUCAUUCUUCUUGAUCUAUAAUAGCAAACUUAACUUAUUUAAUAUUCACAUUUAUUAAAACAGUCCUUGACCCAACUUUUGCAAAAUUAUAUUUUUACCCCUAAACUUUCACAUAUUUGCACUUUUUCCCCAAGGCUCGUAAAUUAAACUUCAUCCUAUUUUCUUAUGUUUUAUGACAUGCUGAUCAUUUUUCCCUUCUAUGGCAAUAUCAAAAUCACACUCUAACAUAUACUUAUGACUAUUGGUAUUUUUUUUCCAAUUUAAGCCAUUUUACUCGUUUUCACUUAAAACCGAAUAGCAUAAGUUGUUUAACAUAAUUUAAAACCUCAUAUUCUAUCAUAAAACACCAAAAUACACAAAUUUCAGCCAUGGGUAUUUUUCCAAAUAUGAACCCUAGGUUGAAUUAUUGCUAGAAUAAGCUUAAUCAAGUUACCGGGACUCCAAAAACGUAAAGAUCAUUAAAAACGGGGCUUGGAAUCACUUACUAUGAAGCUUGAAAGUUGAAGAAACCCCAGCUAU